AACGAACGCUGGCGGCAGGCUUAACACAUGCAAGUCGAACGCCCCGCAAGGGGAGUGGCCGACGGGUGAGUAACGCGUGGGAAUCUACCCAUCCCUACGGAAUAACGCAUGGAAACGUGUGCUAAUACCGUAUACGCCCUACGGGGGAAGGAUUUAUCGGGGAUGGAUGAGCCCGCGUUGGAUUAGCUAGUUGGUGGGGUAAAGGCCUACCAAGGCGACGAUCCAUAGCUGGUCUGAGAGGAUGAUCAGCCACAUUGGGACUGAGACACGGCCCAAACUCCUACGGGAGGCAGCAGUGGGGAAUAUUGGACAAUGGGCGCAAGCCUGAUCCAGCCACGCCGCGUGAGUGAUGAAGGCCUUAGGGUUGUAAAGCUCUUUCACCGGAGAAGAUAAUGACGGUAUCCGGAGAAGAAGCCCCGGCUAACUUCGUG
rnacentral:rRNA from 1 species